GCGGCUCAAGUAGCCCAGGUCUCCACGCAACAAUGAAGCGUGGGCGGCCCCAGCGGCUUCAUUUGCAUAUCGCCGCGGCUUGGCCAAUGGGCUGCGCAGGGGCUUUGGAACGCAGUGUUGCCAUCGGCGUGCGCGCGUGUGUGUGCGAGUGUGACAGCGGCUGUGGCUGUGGCCGUGGCCGUGGGAGGCGGGCCCGGCGGAGCCCAGCCGCGGGGGAACCGGCCCGGGCUCCCGCUCCCCGAGCGCGUCGCGGCCGCGUGGCCCGGCCGAGGCUUGAGACCACCCCGCCCCUGCCGGUCGCAGUCGCGAUGUCGGUGGCCGGGCUGAAGAAGCAGUUCCACAAAGCCAGCCAGCUAUUUAGUGAAAAAAUAAGUGGUGCUGAAGGAACUAAACUAGACGAUGAAUUUCUUGACAUGGAAAGGAAAAUAGAUGUUACCAAUAAAGUUGUUGCAGAAAUUCUUUCAAAAACCACUGAAUAUCUUCAGCCAAAUCCAGGUAAAGUUGAAAUAUUCUCUUGUUCAUUUGCUGUCACAGACUCUAAUAACCCAUGUUUACUUGGUGUUUAGUUGACAUAAUGUAGAAACAAUGUCGUCUGUGUCCCAAUAAUGAAAUUCAGUUUUUAAAGCUGAGUCUCCAGUGACCAAAGGUAGUUGCAUUCGGUCCUACUGAUGAGAAAGAGAACAGCUAUUUUUGUGAAUUUCAGUUGACAUCAUCCGAAUGGAGUGCUGGUCAUAGCAACAAGAGAGCACUGAGCAAAGGUUUUAUGAGUUGCUUCAGAAAGCCACUAAACAUUUGGCAAAUAUUUUCUUACUUCGUUAUUUCCUCUUUAUAAUUUUUUUAAAAAUUCUGCCCUUGUGUACUAUAUACAUAAAGGUAUAUGUUAAUUUGAAAAAGCUUUCUCUUCAUGGCUUAAAUGCUGGAGAAACAAGGUGUGGUGAAUACGAAAGACUGCUUAAAUCCAGUGUCACAUCAGCUUCGCCACUGAAGGUCUGGAUUUCUAGGUCCCCAAGCAGCAUCUAUUGACGAGAUUUUCCCAGGUUGUAAAUUAUAGAAACCAAUAGAGGGCGCCCAAGCCUUGAGUUCUGUGGAUUUCUGAAGCCACCUUUCCUUUUUAGGAAUUUAUUAUCUGCGUAGAGUUCCUGUGAUUCCCUUGACUGUAGGAAUCAGCACAAACCU
rnacentral:sRNA from 1 species